UUUGAUCAAGGCCUUUCUCACCAUCAUUUCUUGUCAUCUCAUCCUAAGAUUACAACCCUAGCCUUGUGCUAGUAGUAGUCGUGUUUGCUGAGGAGAUUUGGGUUACGAGUACCGAAGACGCAAUACUACAUUUACAGACAUCUACAGACAUUUUUAUACAUGGUAUGAUUAGCUAAGGAACUUACUGUUAGAUCACGUGAAUGGAUAGGCUAUUAUCGUAAGACCAUUAAUCCUUGUAUAAGGACCGAGAGGCAUGAGUGAUAGAUCUAUUGGGUGUUGCGAGCCCCACACAUGGGCCAGCGUGUGGCUGCAUGUGGUGACUAUGUCGUUCCGCCGGAAGGACCGGUAUGAAAUACGCGUUACAGGAAAUUAAGUAUGGAUCUGGCGGGCGUUGGAAUUUCAAGUCAUGAUUAAGUAUAAAGAUGUCAUCCAUGGUUUUUAGGUUUGGCCAGUGUGUCUUAAUCCUGGACGAGACACGUCUUCCAAACUUGGAUUACAACUAUUAUCUUUGACGAGUCCUUAGCAAACUUUUAUACAAUUCAUCUGGUUUGUAAAACUUAAAUUUUGAAGUCUACGUUUUAGACAAUGUUGUUAUGUUUUAAACUCAUUUUAUGGAUGACAAAUCUUUG
rnacentral:lncRNA from 1 species